AUUUAGACAAAAACGUUUCAUUCAAUAUACAAAAUACCAGAUUAGACAAAAGUGGAAUAAAAGACAAAUAUAAAUAGUAGCAUAAAAUAAUAUCAAAGAAAUUAUAAUAAAACAUAAAAAAAAUAUGAGAUGAGAGAUUAGAGAAGAUGAAAAAAAGAACAUAAGAGAUGCGAGAUUGAGAAGAAAAGUACAAUAAAAACGUAAUUGGAAGAGAAAAUACUAACAUA
rnacentral:lncRNA from 1 species